rnacentral:rRNA from 1 species
AACGAACGCUGGCGGCAGGCCUAACACAUGCAAGUCGAGCGGACCCUUCGGGGUUAGCGGCGGACGGGUGAGUAACGCGUGGGAAUAUGCCCUUCUCUACGGAAUAGUCCUGGGAAACUGGGGGUAAUACCGUAUACACCCUUUGGGGGAAAGAUUUAUCGGGGAAGGAUUAGCCCGCGUUGGAUUAGGUAGUUGGUGGGGUAAUGGCCUACCAAGCCGACGAUCCAUAGCUGGUUUGAGAGGAUGAUCAGCCACACUGGGACUGAGACACGGCCCAGACUCCUACGGGAGGCAGCAGUGGGGAAUCUUAGACAAUGGGGGCAACCCUGAUCUAGCCAUGCCGCGUGAGUGAUGAAGGCCUUAGGGUUGUAAAGCUCUUUCAGCUGGGAAGAUAAUGACGGUACCAGCAGAAGAAGCCCCGGCUAACUCCGUG